GGUCUGAAGCUGUUGGAGGGAGCAAGAAAAUGGGCACAGAGGGUUAACCAUGAACUCUACAUUGAUGACAUCAAAAGACACAGCAGCUUUAAGGCAGGUGUAAGCAAUCAUCAACACACCUGCAUGCAGUGUUUCCUAGAAGAGCUACCACGUAUUUCUUCUGUAAUAAAGGAGUCAGGCUGACUGAUGAUAUGCAUUAUGGAUGUCACCUCCAGCAUAAAUACUAUGGGAGAGGUGAGCACAAAGAACUACGGAAGGGAAGGGAAAUGAAACAUAGAAAAAUGUUGGGAAAUACCUCGCAAAGAAACAGCAUGGCAGGAAACAAGGUUAGAGAGUUACAGGGGAAAUACGAGCCAACAAUGUGAUGUCAAACCCAGGAAAUGGUCUGUAAAUGUCAUGUGAAACCCAUGGAGAUAAUUACCAUGCUCCACUCCUCCUGUAGAGGCCCCUGGAGGCUGGAGGUGUGUGCUGGUUUAGGUGUGUGCCAGCUUGGGUCACCACGUUCUGAGGAGGCUGUGAGAGAGAACAGCACAAACCAGAGGUUCAGAAAACAGGACCUAUGAAUAGAGGUUCAAACAGCUGGCUGGUUUUGGUCCUAUCCAAAAAAAUUCAACUGAGAUGUAUGUCUUCUAAUGUAAAAAGGGCUAUAGAUUAUGGAUCAAUAAAACUGUUGCUGUGUAAUUGUCACUCUGCCAAGGAAAAUGGCAAAAUGAAAUUAGUUAAUUUGCAACAAAGGAGAAUUCAGCUCAAUAACCAACUUUGGAGGUUUAUUUUUGGGUCUAGUUUAGAAAGUAUAUUGAUUUAGGCUGAAAAUUAGAAGGAUAUGCCUUAUAGUAAGAGCAAUGAAGUUCUUCAAUAACUUUCUACUAGGAAGAAUGGUGAUAAAAUGAUAAAGCUCACUAUUUUAAGGUGUACUUUAAAUCCAUUCUUUUUUACCCCACCCUGCUACAUGGCCUUUACAAAAAUCAAAAAGAAGUGUUAUGUAACACUUCCAAAAAGAUAAAGACAUAACAGAACAGACCCGCUUAAAGUGCUGUAUCAAACCACAGUGCUGAUCUUACAUAAUUGUUUAUCUUUCUAUGUAGAUAUGUAUGUGAACAAAGUCUCUUCUAACCAUACAUACAUAUGCCACACAAAUCUGUGGGCAGUGUUUGUCCCGCAGACAACAGGUAGAACAUUAUGCUUUUUCUGUAUUGUCAAGUCUUCCUAUGGAAUUGCAUAUUCUACAAUUCUGUUUUAUGCAAACUGCAAGUUUGCAUUAGAACAGAAAACAUUUUUUCUAAUGCAGCCUUAGAUUUUUAUCCCUUAUGAAGCUGUUGGCUGAUUGAUAAAGAUUUACCACAUUUCUUCAUAGGACAUCUGUAUUGAAAUCUCACAACCACACAGUAUUUCACAAUCUGCAGAAAAAAUAAUAAAAUAAAAUAAAAUAAAAUAAAAUAAAAUAAAAUAAAAUAAAAUAAAAUAAAAUAAAAUAAAAUAAAAUAAAAUAAAAUAAAAUAAAAUAAAAUA